AAAACCAACAAAGAGUCAAUCGACAUAGAGGUGAUGUGAAUAGUUAUU
rnacentral:misc_RNA from 1 species